ensembl:snoRNA SNORD79 Small nucleolar RNA SNORD79
UACUGUGCAUGAUGAUUUAAAAUCAAUGGGAAUCUCUCUGAAUUAGAAUGAAAGACUUCUUUUUAAACUGAAACAGUA